rnacentral:rRNA from 1 species
CACGUAGGCACCAAGCGUUGUCCGGAUUUAUUGGGCGUAAAGCGUGCGCAGGCGGUUCGUUAUGUCCGAUGUGAAAGCCCCGAGCUUAACUUGGGAAUGGCAUUGGAAACUGGCGGGCUGGAGUGCGGCAGAGGGGGGUGGAAUUCCACGUGUAGCAGUGAAAUGCGUAGAGAUGUGGAGGAACACCGAUGGCGAAGGCAGCCCCCUGGGCCGACACUGACGCUCAGGCACGAAAGCGUGGGGAGCAAACAGG